rnacentral:rRNA from 1 species
CUUGCCAGGGAACUACGAGCCCCAGCUUGAAACCCAAAGGACUUGGCGGUGCUUUAGACCCCCCUAGAGGAGCCUGUUCUAGAACCGAUAACCCCCGUUCAACCUCACCCCCUCUGGUCACUCCCGCCUAUAUACCGCCGUCGUCAGCUUACCGUGUGAACGAGUAAUAGUCAGCAUAAUUGGCACAGCCUAAAACGUCAGGUCGAGGUGUAGCGCAUGAGGGGGGAAGAAAUGGGCUACAUUCACUGGUCCAGUGAAAACGGAUGAUACCUUGAAACACGUAUCUGAAGGAGGAUUUAGCAGUAAGGGGGCAGUAGAGCGCCCCCCUGAAACCGGCCCUGAAGCGCGCACACACCGCCCGUCACUCUCCCCAAGUACAAAGUAGACAGUAUAUAAACCAACAAAUGAACAAAGGGGAGGCAAGUCGUAACAUGGUAAGUGUACCGGAAGGUGCACUUGGACAAAC